rnacentral:lncRNA from 1 species
UGAUGGAACAUGAGAGACUCCUAACUCUGGGAAGCGAACAGGGGUAGUGGAAGAGGAGGUGGGCGGGGGGAUGGGUGACUGAGUGAUGGGCGCUGAGGGGGGGCACUUGAAGGGAUGAGCACUGGAUGUUAUGCUAUAUGUUGGCAAAUCAAACUCCAAUAAAAAAAAUAAGCCAAAAAAAGAGCUAAGCCAAACAGGAACAUUAAACAUUUGCUUUCAAUGACAUUUUCUCUUCCUCAGCCACCCUAAAGGACAGCAUUGCAGGCUGCCCAGCUGACCGACCCAUGAAUCCAGGAGGAAGUGAGCAUGCCUUUCCACAGGUCAAUCUAGAACUGUUUUCUGAAGGAGACUUGCUUCUUCAGGUACGGUAUGACAUUUUCCAAAUCUAUCUCCUGUCAGUGGUUAUGAAAAUAGCAGAAUCAGGGCCUCAGAGAUUUUCAAAAAACACUUCAUUUCAAAUCUUGUUCAAUUUAUCUUUAAUUAUCAAGUCAAUUUUCUGGUUGGAUAAAGUAUUCUAUAUCNACCCAUGAAUCCAGGAAGUGAGCAUGCCUCUCCACAGGUCAAUCUAGAACUGUUUUCUGAAGGAGACUUGCUUCUUCGGGUACGGUAUGACAUUUUCCAAAUCUAUCUCCUGUCAGUGGUUAUGAUAAUAGCAGAAUCGGGGCCUCAGAGAUUUUCAAAAAACACUUCAUUUCAAAUCUUGUUGAAUUUAUCUUUAAUUAUCAAGUCAAUUUUCUGGUUGGAUAAAGUAUUCUGUAUCUAUUCCUUCCAUUUUUCAGACAAUUCUAUAACCAAAGUGCCAUGUGGGUGAGAGUCACACAGGGCAGACUCAGAAACCCUUGAUGUCCAUCCCUGACAGCCACCUGCUAGUUAAAGAGCAGCCACCUCUCCCCACAAGGGUGAUGCUGCACGUGUCCUAUCUGUUUCAGGAGGUGUGAGACUCAGGGGGAGGGGUGUAUGUGUAAAUCAUACCGUAAGCCAUCAAACACAAGAAAGGAAACAAACAUACAAAGGAAAAAUAUCUUUUGUGUAUAUGGAAAUAUUAGCAAUAUUAGCAUACCAUAUUUCACUUUUACUACCUUCGGGCACUUGAACAUUUUCUUUCUCUGAAAUUUUCUAUCUAAAUAUGAUAUCUUGGGUAGCCUGGUGGCUCAGCGGUGGAGCGCCGCCUUCAGCCCAGGGCCUGAUCCUGGAGACC